UUAAGCGACUAAGCGUACACGGUGGAUGCCCUGGCAGUCAGAGGCGAUGAAGGGCGUGCUAAUCUGCGAUAAGCGCCGGUAAGGUGAUAUGAACCGUUAUAACCGGCGAUACCCGAAUGGGGAAACCCAGUGUGAUUCGUCACACUAUCAUUAACUGAAUCCAUAGGUUAAUGAGGCGAACCGGGGGAACUGAAACAUCUAAGUACCCCGAGGAAAAGAAAUCAACCGAGAUUCCCCCAGUAGCGGCGAGCGAACGGGGAGGAGCCCAGAGCCUGAAUCAGCAUGUGUGUUAGUGGAAGCGUCUGGAAAGGCGCGCGAUACAGGGUGACAGCCCCGUACACAAAAGCGCAUGUGCUGUGAGCUCGAUGAGUAGGGCGGGACACGUGGUAUCCUGUCUGAAUAUGGGGGGACCAUCCUCCAAGGCUAAAUACUCCUGACUGACCGAUAGUGAACCAGUACCGUGAGGGAAAGGCGAAAAGAACCCCGGCGAGGGGAGUGAAAAAGAACCUGAAACCGUGUACGUACAAGCAGUGGGAGCCCCACCACUAAGCCAGUGGUGAACUCCACAUCCGCAUCCUUUGCUGAGGAUACGGUUAACGGAGCGAAAGCGACGUUCAACCGCAAAACAAGCAGAGGGGCUUAGUGGUGGGGUGACUGCGUACCUUUUGUAUAAUGGGUCAGCGACUUAUAUUCUGUAGCAAGGUUAACCGUAUAGGGGAGCCGGAGGGAAACCGAGUCUUAAUUGGGCGUUAAGUUGCAGGGUAUAGACCCGAAACCCGGUGAUCUAGCCAUGGGCAGGUUGAAGGUUGGGUAACACUAACUGGAGGACCGAACCGACUAAUGUUGAAAAAUUAGCGGAUGACCUGUGGCUGGGGGUGAAAGGCCAAUCAAACCGGGAGAUAGCUGGUUCUCCCCGAAAGCUAUUUAGGUAGCGCCUCGUGAAUUCAUCUCCGGGGGUAGAGCACUGUUUCGGCUAGGGGGCCAUCCCGGCUUACCAACCCGAUGCAAACUGCGAAUACCGGAGAAUGUUAUCACGGGAGACACACGGCGGGUGCUAACGUCCGUCGUGAAGAGGGAAACAACCCAGACCGCCAGCUAAGGUCCCAAAGUCAUGGUUAAGUGGGAAACGAUGUGGGAAGGCCCAGACAGCCAGGAUGUUGGCUUAGAAGCAGCCAUCAUUUAAAGAAAGCGUAAUAGCUCACUGGUCGAGUCGGCCUGCGCGGAAGAUGUAACGGGGCUAAACCAUGCACCGAAGCUGCGGCAGCGAACGUAUCACCCAAGACAACUUUACGGAGUUGACGAUUGACGGAGCGAAGCGACGUCAAAGCGUUCAUUAAAGUCGAGUUGGCUUAGGGAUACGUUCGUUGGGUAGGGGAGCGUUCUGUAAGCCUGUGAAGGUGUGUCGUGAGGCAUGCUGGAGGUAUCAGAAGUGCGAAUGCUGACAUAAGUAACGAUAAAGCGGGUGAAAAGCCCGCUCGCCGGAAGACCAAGGGUUCCUGUCCAACGUUAAUCGGGGCAGGGUGAGUCGACCCCUAAGGCGAGGCCGAAAGGCGUAGUCGAUGGGAAACGGGUUAAUAUUCCCGUACUUGGUGUUACUGCGAAGGGGGGACGGAGAAGGCUAUGUUGGCCGGGCGACGGUUGUCCCGGUUUAAGCGUGUAGGUGUGUGUUCCAGGUAAAUCCGGUUCACUUUAACACUGAGGCGUGACGACGAGGCACUACGGUGCUGAAGCAACAAAUGCCCUGCUUCCAGGAAAAGCCUCUAAGCAUCAGGUAACACGAAAUCGUACCCCAAACCGACACAGGUGGUCAGGUAGAGAAUACCAAGGCGCUUGAGAGAACUCGGGUGAAGGAACUAGGCAAAAUGGUGCCGUAACUUCGGGAGAAGGCACGCUGACACGUAGGUGAAGUGAUUUACUCAUGGAGCUGAAGUCAGUCGAAGAUACCAGCUGGCUGCAACUGUUUAUUAAAAACACAGCACUGUGCAAACACGAAAGUGGACGUAUACGGUGUGACGCCUGCCCGGUGCCGGAAGGUUAAUUGAUGGGGUCAGCGUAAGCGAAGCUCCUGAUCGAAGCCCCGGUAAACGGCGGCCGUAACUAUAACGGUCCUAAGGUAGCGAAAUUCCUUGUCGGGUAAGUUCCGACCUGCACGAAUGGCGUAAUGAUGGCCAGGCUGUCUCCACCCGAGACUCAGUGAAAUUGAACUCGCUGUGAAGAUGCAGUGUACCCGCGGCAAGACGGAAAGACCCCGUGAACCUUUACUAUAGCUUGACACUGAACAUUGAGCCUUGAUGUGUAGGAUAGGUGGGAGGCUUUGAAGUGUGGACGCCAGUCUGCAUGGAGCCGACCUUGAAAUACCACCCUUUAAUGUUUGAUGUUCUAACGUGGACCCGUAAUCCGGGUUGCGGACAGUGUCUGGUGGGUAGUUUGACUGGGGCGGUCUCCUCCUAAAGAGUAACGGAGGAGCACGAAGGUUGGCUAAUCCUGGUCGGACAUCAGGAGGUUAGUGCAAUGGCAUAAGCCAGCUUGACUGCGAGCGUGACGGCGCGAGCAGGUGCGAAAGCAGGUCAUAGUGAUCCGGUGGUUCUGAAUGGAAGGGCCAUCGCUCAACGGAUAAAAGGUACUCCGGGGAUAACAGGCUGAUACCGCCCAAGAGUUCAUAUCGACGGCGGUGUUUGGCACCUCGAUGUCGGCUCAUCACAUCCUGGGGCUGAAGUAGGUCCCAAGGGUAUGGCUGUUCGCCAUUUAAAGUGGUACGCGAGCUGGGUUUAGAACGUCGUGAGACAGUUCGGUCCCUAUCUGCCGUGGGCGCUGGAGAACUGAGGGGGGCUGCUCCUAGUACGAGAGGACCGGAGUGGACGCAUCACUGGUGUUCGGGUUGUCAUGCCAAUGGCACUGCCCGGUAGCUAAAUGCGGAAGAGAUAAGUGCUGAAAGCAUCUAAGCACGAAACUUGCCCCGAGAUGAGUUCUCCCUGAGACUUAGAGUCUCCUGAAGGAACGUUGAAGACGACGACGUUGAUAGGCCGGGUGUGUAAGCGCAGCGAUGCGUUGAGCUAACCGGUACUAAUGAACCGUGAGGCUUAACCUU
rnacentral:rRNA from 1 species